rnacentral:lncRNA from 1 species
CACUGGCAGCGCGCGCUGGCGACCGAGACGGAGGAGAGCCGGUCUCCGCCACCGCCGUCCGUCCUCCGUCCCUCCCCGCACGCCGAGAUCGGUGGGAAGCGGCGGCGCCCUGAAAUAAAGCGCUAUAAAUACACCCCACCCGCCCCGCGCCCGGGCUUUCGCGGGGUGACCGGGGGCGUCUUUCCGUGCUCCGGUCCUCCUGGCCAGAGAGAGAGAACAAAACAAACAAAAAAAAGAGUCCCGUCCCGAAGCCCUGCAGUGGCCGGACACCCACACACACGCUCAGAGACUAACCACCAAAAAAAAACAAAAAAAACACGCAAAACCGAGCGGGCGCGCGCCGUGUGACCCGCUCCCAUCCGUCGUGACGCAAGAGGCGCAUUUCGUCCCGUCGCGCGGUUUUCGUCCCGAGCGGAUUCUGCGAAACUUACUCCCGAGGCGCGCCGCGGUCCCGGGGUGCGGAGGAGAGGCGACCGGGGAGCCCGGCCUUGGCGUGUCCGGAGGGGACAGCCGCCCCUGUCCCCCUGUCCCCGCUCAGGACGAGAUUGUGUCUCGGACUUGCUGCCGGUGAGGUUCUGACCACCUCUCGUCCCCGUUCUGCGUCACCGGCCGCACAGCGAUGUGUUUUCAGACGACAGGACAAGAUAUGGACAGUGUCAACAUUUGAUAAGGUUUAAGAGAAAGAUAUUUCCAUUCAUAAAGGACUGCAGACUGGGAUCUUGCCAGGAGCGCAGGAGAAGGGGCAUCGGCUGCUGUGCGCCCAGCAGAUUCCAGGAUCACCCUGCUUACUGGUCCCACAACACUGGGAAUUACGCUGGGACUUGUCCUGGGGGGGUUGAGGCAGACGUUACCCCACGUCUGAUGCGUGUCAGAAGACUACACAACGUUGCAGCGUUUUCCAAAUUAAAGUCAUAUGUCUUAUAUAUUAGGCUAUUUUUUUUUUACUCCACAGGAAAUAUUUGGCUUUUCUGGCUUAAAGCGUACGUGUGAGGCGCAGUUGCCUAAAAGUUCAGAAGUUUUCUGUGUUUGCUGCACUGCUGUUUGAACUGGUUUUAUAGACUGUAAUAAAACAUAAAAAUAAAAAAAAAAACA